AAACGGUGACGUAAAACUUUUAUUAGUUAACCCAAACCAAAAACACCCAACCGAAACCCUAGAUCUUACUUAUGUAAGAUCUAAAUCACAAAUACAAAAUACAAGAUCAACCGAAAAGAAUAUCAGUUGAAAUCACCAAAUUACAAGAUCCAACACUGGAUCAGAUCCAACAAUGGAUCAACAACGAGACACAUGAACAGAAAUAUGAACAAAGGAUACAGAGAUAAAUACAAGACUGAUCAAAAGACAUAGAGAAGCAUGAUGCUGAUCAUCUGAUGUAGUACGGCCUUGAUGUUGAGGUCGAGUUAAAAUCACUAGUUAUUAUCGUUAUAUAUGCAGGCCCUUAACACCACAACUCUUCAAUUAAGCCCAUUAAGACAUUUUCAACAACUUAAAGUUUAGCCCAUCAGCCCUUUGUCCUUGAGCACAUGUACAAUGUUGCCUCUACAUAAAAUAUUAAAACGAUGUUAACUACAAAAUGUUUGCAACAUUAAAUUGACACAUUUUAGCAUGGAUUUUAACAUCCCCCCUCAAUUUCAUGCUGCAAACACAUCAAAGACAUAGCAUCUCUUUUCAACAAAGGUAAUUUUCUAUAAAAACAAGUGACUUCCAUUCAAAUUAAAAUAAUCCAACUUUACUUGUAACAAGAUCUUUAAAGACGACAGAGUCAAUAUGUAUCUUAUGAAGAAUAUGAAUAAUAUGAAAUUGAGAAGAAAUGCAUUCAUACAUAAACAAAAAAAAACUAGAUAUGUAGAGACUUCCCUGAACAUUUCGGUUUGAUUCUGACCAUGCCUGCUUCCUUUACGGUUCACUUUUUCAAACCACAUGUAGAGAACCACUCAUCGUCCGUCGAAAUACCACUCAUAUCCAUAUCAAGCUCAUCACAUUCUGAAAACUAACUCUUGAUCAUCUUGUAAACAUUAAGAAGUGCAGCUAUGCCAGUAUCAACAUUUUAAAUUGGUGAACUUUAAAACCUCAAUCGAAAAUCGAAAAUCAUAUCUGGACUAGAAGAAACAAACUUCCAAAACACUAAGAACGAAAAAAAACAAACCAUAUUCUAAAUACAAUUAAUUUCAGAUACAAAAAGAUAAUGAUAAAAGGCCAACAACCUAUUUCCAUGAUUUAUAUGUCAAAAAAAUGGUAAAUCGGAACUUUAUUCAACUUACAAAUCAAGAAAAACUCACACCCAAACACAUAUCAUUAGCAAGAGGAUCUGAAAUUAGAACUCUCACUAAGUAAGUCUAUCAGGAGAUAAACUCUACUACAUGUAAAAUCACAAACAAACUCUAGAUCUAGAAAACACGAGAGGGAACAAACAAGAAUGAUCAAAGAGUAUUACUGAAACCCUAACAAUGCUACUCGAAAAUGAUCUCAAAGCAUGCAAUGAGCUAGAUCGUGUUUUUUUUUAUAAAUCACAAAUGGGGGACAUGCUCAUAUAAAGCUAUGAAUGUCAAUGUGCCAAAAACUCAUUUCAUAUUUAUAAAAAAAAAACCACAUUAUUCAACAACACCACCAGAAGAUAUAUAACAUAUAUGAUAAAACAACUAGAAGACAUAUUCUAGUUAAACAACGAAUCACACGAUUCAACAACCAUAUCAAACACAUAUAUGGUAAAACCAAGAGUCACACGACUCUAUACAACUCAGAACAACGUCUGAACACUUAAAUCACACGAUUCAAAACGAUAAAAGUCAUACAACUUCUAAAUUCAUAAACAGAUUUGAAAAAUUUGGAUUCAUGUAAGAAAAACUUGUAAAGAACUUAAGGACACAUUUGAUUUGAUCAAAAACUUUUACAACUUCAUAAGAACACGAAUCACUCAAAAUUGAAUCUCAUGAUUUAUAUAUAUAAAAUGAGAAUCACACAAUUCUACAUCAGAGUUAACAGCCAAAAAAACAUCUAAUUGAAUUAGAAAAUCAUACGAUUUUACAAUUAGAAAGACAUCUCACCAAGGAGCAAACACGGCUAUCAAAACAAUCAAGAACAAUCUUGAAAAAUACAAUUGGUUAGAAAACACUCGAACCACAUGAUUCGACUAACCAUACAACAAGAAUAUGGACGAAAAAACAUACAGAC
rnacentral:lncRNA from 1 species